rnacentral:tRNA from 1 species
GGAGGUUUAGGAUAACGCAAUAAACCAAGGGCCUUCAAAGCCCUAAAUAAAAGAGAAAAACUUUUAACUCCUG